UGGGGAAUAUUGCACAAUGGAGGGAACUCUGAUGCAGCGACGCCGCGUGAACGAAGAAGGCUUUCGAGUCGUAAAGUUCUUUUAUAUGGGAAGAUAAUGACGGUAUCAUAAGAAAAAGCCCCGGCUAACUACGUGCCAGCAGCCGCGGUAAUACGUAGGGGGCUAGCGUUGUCCGGAAUCACUGGGCGUAAAGGGUUCGCAGGCGGAAAUGCAAGUCAGGUGUAAAAGGCAGUAGCUUAACUACUGUAAGCAUUUGAAACUGCAUAUCUUGAGAAGAGUAGAGGUAAGUGGAAUUUUUAGUGUAGCGGUGAAAUGCGUAGAUAUUAAAAAGAAUACCGGUGGCGAAGGCGACUUACUGGGCUCAUUCUGACGCUGAGGAACGAAAGCGUGGGUAGCAAACAGG
rnacentral:rRNA from 1 species